ACAAAAAAGGGGAUGGAAUUGAAAAUAAAAUAAGAAAACAGAAGCCAUCAUCUUCUUCCCAUUAAGAGGCGCAUCAGCUUAAGGGAAAAACCAGAAAUCCUCCUCCUUCUCCAACAAUAAAAAUACUAUUUUCUACCGUUAAAGGAGCCUUCUUCCCAACUGAAAACCAAUAGCUUUUCUCCAUGGAAACUGCCUCAAACUUCAGCUCCAAAACACCCCAAACCAACGUGAAGUAGCUUGAAACUCCAGCCAAACACCUAAACUCUAACGUCCAGCCACCCACAACAACCGAGCAUCACCCCCACGAUGGAGUCGAAUUGAGGCUUUUAAAAUUCGGGGUUCAAAGUUUGCCUUUUCGGCGAGUCUCGAAUUUCCGGCGAGGUCAAUCGAGUCUGCCGGAGCUUCGGUUAAGGUCUUGUCCAUGGUCUGUCGAGUGUUAAAAUCACUCCCUGCUUAACUAAGGAUGUUCAUUGCAACCUUGGCUGAUUUGCCUAUCUUUCACCAAUUGGUCCGCGUGCGUUUUCAAGAUCCUAACAUAGAAACUUAAGGUUGUUCCGUAGCAGGUAGUAUUGAUUAGUGAUAGCAGCACACCCUCUCUUCAGCUGAUUUGGUAAUUCCCACUUCAUUUCGGGAUCCUGUAUCUCUUAUCCUUUGAACAUAGCAUUUUGAGGUAUAGU